rnacentral:rRNA from 2 species
CAGUCGAACGAACUCUGGUAUUGAUUGGUGCUUGCAUCAUGAUUUACAUUUGAGUGAGUGGCGAACUGGUGAGUAACACGUGGGAAACCUGCCCAGAAGCGGGGGAUAACACCUGGAAACAGAUGCUAAUACCGCAUAACAACUUGGACCGCAUGGUCCGAGCUUGAAAGAUGGCUUCGGCUAUCACUUUUGGAUGGUCCCGCGGCGUAUUAGCUAGAUGGUGGGGUAACGGCUCACCAUGGCAAUGAUACGUAGCCGACCUGAGAGGGUAAUCGGCCACAUUGGGACUGAGACACGGCCCAAACUCCUACGGGAGGCAGCAGUAGGGAAUCUUCCACAAUGGACGAAAGUCUGAUGGAGCAACGCCGCGUGAGUGAAGAAGGGUUUCGGCUCGUAAAACUCUGUUGUUAAAGAAGAACAUAUCUGAGAGUAACUGUUCAGGUAUUGACGGUAUUUAACCAGAAAGCCACGGCUAACUACGUGCCAGCAGCCGCGGUAAUACGUAGGUGGCAAGCGUUGUCCGGAUUUAUUGGGCGUAAAGCGAGCGCAGGCGGUUUUUUAAGUCUGAUGUGAAAGCCUUCGGCUCAACCGAAGAAGUGCAUCGGAAACUGGGAAACUUGAGUGCAGAAGAGGACAGUGGAACUCCAUGUGUAGCGGUGAAAUGCGUAGAUAUAUGGAAGAACACCAGUGGCGAAGGCGGCUGUCUGGUCUGUAACUGACGCUGAGGCUCGAAAGUAUGGGUAGCAAACAGGAUUAGAUACCCUGGUAGUCCAUACCGUAAACGAUGAAUGCUAAGUGUUGGAGGGUUUCCGCCCUUCAGUGCUGCAGCUAACGCAUUAAGCAUUCCGCCUGGGGAGUACGGCCGCAAGGCUGAAACUCAAAGGAAUUGACGGGGGCCCGCACAAGCGGUGGAGCAUGUGGUUUAAUUCGAAGCUACGCGAAGAACCUUACCAGGUCUUGACAUACUAUGCAAAUCUAAGAGAUUAGACGUUCCCUUCGGGGACAUGGAUACAGGUGGUGCAUGGUUGUCGUCAGCUCGUGUCGUGAGAUGUUGGGUUAAGUCCCGCAACGAGCGCAACCCUUAUUAUCAGUUGCCAGCAUUAAGUUGGGCACUCUGGUGAGACUGCCGGUGACAAACCGGAGGAAGGUGGGGAUGACGUCAAAUCAUCAUGCCCCUUAUGACCUGGGCUACACACGUGCUACAAUGGAUGGUACAACGAGUUGCGAACUCGCGAGAGUAAGCUAAUCUCUUAAAGCCAUUCUCAGUUCGGAUUGUAGGCUGCAACUCGCCUACAUGAAGUCGGAAUCGCUAGUAAUCGCGGAUCAGCAUGCCGCGGUGAAUACGUUCCCGGGCCUUGUACACACCGCCCGUCACACCAUGAGAGUUUGUAACACCCAAAGUCGGUGGGGUAACCUUUUAG